GGGGAUGUCUUGGUUUCGACAGGACUGUGCUUGAAUCAGAUUGCAGUGGGGUGGCGGCCCUAAAAGCCAAACAGCCAAUAACUGGCAACCAUUAUGCGACUUCUGUCGCCUACGCUGCUUAAUUUCCACUAACUAGGAAUGCAGCUGCGCUUACGGGAUGACCUCUGGUCCUGUAACCGUAUCACAAACAGGGGUUAAGCGGUAAGAGCUCCCGGUAAUUACUGACGAAAAACAACGGGAAACCCUUUGGAUAAGGCUGUCUGUCCCUAAUCCAAAGGCAACAAGGCAGACUAAACUGUAGACGUUUGAUUGUGGAGCUUUUCUUGGACAGGAGUUCGACUCUCCUCAUCUCCACCA
rnacentral:tmRNA from 1 species